rnacentral:rRNA from 1 species
GACGAACGCUGGCGGCGUGCUUAACACAUGCAAGUCGAGCGGUAAGGCCCUUUCGGGGGUACACGAGCGGCGAACGGGUGAGUAACACGUGGGUGACCUGCCCUUAGCUCUGGGAUAAGCCUGGGAAACUGGGUCUAAUACCGGAUAUGACUCCAUGACGCAUGUUGUGGGGUGGAAAGCCUUGUGCGGCUAGGGAUGGGCCCGCGGCCUAUCAGCUUGUUGGUGGGGUGAUGGCCUACCAAGGCGACGACGGGUAGCCGGCCUGAGAGGGCGACCGGCCACACUGGGACUGAGACACGGCCCAGACUCCUACGGGAGGCAGCAGUAGGGAAUCUUGCGCAAUGGGCGAAGGCCUGACGCAGCGACGCCGCGUGGGGAUGACGGCCUCGGUUGUAA